UGAACACUUAUGCCUCUAUUUAUAGUGUAACAUAGAGGCAUACAAAAGGUUAGUCAUAAACAUGACAUUAACAUGAAUAUAAUGGGAAGGUUAUGGAAGUGAAAGGUUACAAGAAUAAUGGUUAUAAAGGUGGAGGUUAUGGUUAUCUUCAUAAUGGAGGAAAGUAAUGGAGUAACUUCUUGAUGUAGUGGACAUCUACAAUAUAUUAUUUUAUAACACUCCCC
rnacentral:lncRNA from 1 species